rnacentral:rRNA from 1 species
AAAGACCUUAUGCUUUUGGAGCGGCCGAUGUCUGAUUAGCUAGUUGGUGGGGUAAAUGCUUACCAAGGCGACGAUCAGUAGUUGGUCUGAGAGGACGACCAGCCACACUGGGACUGAGGCACGGCCCAGACUCCUACGGGAGGCAGCAGGGGGGAAUUUUGGACAAUGGGCGCAAGCCUGAUCCAGCAAUGCCGUGUGAGUGAAGAAGGCCUUCGGGUUGUAAAGCUAAUUAGGUCGAGAAGAAAAGGUUAUGACUAAUAAUUAAACUCCAUGACGGUAUCGACAGAAGAAGCACCGGCUAACAACGUGCCAGCAGCCGCGGUAAUACGUAGGGUGCGAGCGUUAAUCGGAAUUACUGGGCGUAAAGGGUGCGCAGGCGGUUCUGUAAGUCAGAUGUGAAAUCCCCGGGCUUAACCUGGGAAUU